CCUACGGGAGGCAGCAGUGGGGAAUCUUGCACAAUGGAGGAAACUCUGAUGCAGCGAUGCCGCGUGAGUGAAGAAGGCCCUUGGGUUGUAAAGCUCUUUCGUCGGGGAAGAAAAUGACUGUACCCGAAUAAGAAGGUCCGGCUAACUUCGUGCCAGCAGCCGCGGUAAUACGAAGGGACCUAGCGUAGUUCGGAAUUACUGGGCUUAAAGAGUUCGUAGGUGGUUGAAAAAGUUGGUGGUGAAACCCCAGAGCUUAACUCUGGAACUGCCAUCAAAACUUUUCAGCUAGAGUAUGAUAGAGGAAAGCAGAAUUUCUAGUGUAGAGGUGAAAUUCGUAGAUAUUAGAAAGAAUACCAAUUGCGAAGGCAGCUUUCUGGAUCAUUACUGACACUGAGGAACGAAAGCAUGGGUAGCGAAGAGGAUUAGAUACCCUCGUAGUCCAUGCCGUAAACGAUGUGUGUUAGACGUUGGAAAUUUAUUUUCAGUGUCGCAGCGAAAGCGAUAAACACACCGCCUGGGGAGUACGACCGCAAGGUUAAAACUCAAAUGAAUUGACGG
rnacentral:rRNA from 1 species